CGGGAAACCCGGGCCCGUUGCAUCCGCUGGGUGUAGCCGUGGGGAUGGCAGGUUCGGGGAGGCUGGUCCUACGGCCCUGGAUUCGGGAGCUGAUUCUGGGGUCAGAGACACCCUCCAGUCCACGAGCCGGGCAGCUGCUUGAGGGAGGAGAAGGAGUUCGGCUUCCGCGGGACAGAGGGCCGGCUGCUGCUGCUGCAGGACUGCGGGGUUCAUGUCCAGGUCGCUGAGGGCGGCGCGCCCGCAGAGUUCUAUCUCCAGGUGGACCGCUUCAGCCUGCUGCCCACGGAGCAGCCCCGGCUACGGGUGCCUGGUUGGUAAGUGAUGCCUCCGCCCUCCAGCAGCUCUCCCCACCCCAGCCUGGCCGGCGCUGGCAGACGCCUAUGGGGUAGGAGGGCUUGGGCCCCCAUUAACUACCCUUCUCUUUUUCUUAGCAACCAAGACUUAGAUGUUCAGAAAAAGCUCUAUGACUGCCUUGAGUGAGUCUGGGGUUGGGCUCGGGGGCCACGUGUUGUUUGGUGAGGGGAUGGUGUAUCUAGGUAGACAGGCCUCAGCAUGGUUCCUGAGUCCUGGCCACUCUCUUCCUGUAGGGAGCACCUUUCAGAGUCCACCUCGUCCAAUGCAGGUACUGUAGAGCUUGACCAGUGAUCCUAACACGCUGUGCAGUGAUCUCUCCAGCCUUAACCUUAUGCUUCCUCAAUAAGCUGUCUUCCCCCUCACCCUCCUGGUCCUCCCCUUUAAGCCUUGACUCAUCCCAUGGUCCCCUGUCCCCAGGCCUAUCACUGUCCCAGCUUCUGGAUGAAAUGCGGGAGGACCAGGAGCAUCAGGGGGCACUCGUGUGCCUGGCUGAAAGCUGCCUGACACUGGAGGGCCCUUGCACAGCACCCCCUGUCACCCACUGGGCUGCCUCACGAUGCAAGGCCACGGGAGAAGCUGUGUACACUGUCCCCAGCUCAAUGCUGUGCAUCUCUGAGAAUGACCAGCUAAUUCUGAGCUCUCUAGGCCCCUGUCAGAGGACACAGGGUAAGGGGGACUGGAGAGGUUGGG
rnacentral:lncRNA from 1 species